rnacentral:rRNA from 1 species
AAUAGAUACCCAGGUAGUCCACGCCGUAAACGAUGAGUGCUAAGUGUUAGAGGGUUUCCGCCCUUUAGUGCUGCAGCUAACGCAUUAAGCACUCCGCCUGGGGAGUACGGUCGCAAGACUGAAACUCAAAGGAAUUGACGGGGGCCCUCACAAGCGGUGGAGCAUGUGGUUUAAUUCGAAGCAACGCGAAGAACCUUACCAGGUCUUGACAUCCUCUGACAACUCUAGAGAUAGAGCGUUCCCCUUCGGGGGACAGAGUGACAGGUGGUGCAUGGUUGUCGUCAGCUCGUGUCGUGAGAUGUUGGGUUAAGUCCCGCAACGAGCGCAACCCUUGAUCUUAGUUGCCAGCAUUCAGUUGGGCACUCUAAGGUGACUGCCGGUGACAAACCGGAGGAAGUGGGGAUGACGUCAAAUCACCAUGCCCCUUAUGACCUGGGCUACACACGUGCUACAAUGGAUGGUACAAAGGGCUGCAAGACCGCGAGGUCAAGCCAAUCCCAUAAAACCAUUCUCAGUUCGGAUUGU